UACAGAGGGUGCGAGCGUUAAUCGGAAUUACUGGGCGUAAAGCGUGCGUAGACGGUUAUUUAAGUCGGGUGUGAAAGCCCCGGGCUCAACCUGGGAAUUGCAUUCGAGACUGAAUAGCUAGGGUACGGUAGAGGGAAGUGGAAUUUCCGGUGUAGCGGUGAAAUGCGUAGAUAUCUGGAGGAACACCGGUGGCGAAGGCGGCAUCCUGGACCGGCAUUGACGCUGAUGAGCGAAAGCCAGGGGAGCAAGCGGG
rnacentral:rRNA from 1 species